AUUGAACGCUGGCGGCAGGCCUAACACAUGCAAGUCGAACGGUAACAGGAAGAAGCUUGCUUCUUUGCUGACGAGUGGCGGACGGGUGAGUAAUGUCUGGGAAACUGCCUGAUGGAGGGGGAUAACUACUGGAAACGGUAGCUAAUACCGCAUAACGUCGCAAGACCAAAGGGGGGGACCUUCGGGCCUCUUGCCAUCGGAUGUGCCCAGAUGGGAUUAGCUAGUAGGUGGGGUAACGGCUCACCUAGGCGACGAUCCCUAGCUGGUCUGAGAGGAUGACCAGCCACACUGGAACUGAGACACGGUCCAGACUCCUACGGGAGGCAGCAGUGGGGAAUAUUGCACAAUGGGCGCAAGCCUGAUGCAGCCAUGCCGCGUGUAUGAAGAAGGCCUUCGGGUUGUAAAGUACUUUCAGCGGGGAGGAAGGGAGUAAAGUUAAUACCUUGGCUCAUUGACGUUACCCGCAGAAGAAGCACCGGCUAACUCCGUG
rnacentral:rRNA from 1 species